rnacentral:rRNA from 1 species
AGCGAACGCUGGCGGCGUGCCUAACACAUGCAAGUCGAACGUGAAAAGGGAAACCUGAGUAAAGUGGCGUACGGGUGAGUAACGCGUAGGUAAUCUACCCCAGAAUCUGGAAUAACCUGCCGAAAGGCGGGCUAAUACUGGAUAGAGCGAGGGAACUCGUAAGAGAGUUUUUCGGGAAAGGGAGCCCGCAAGGGCCUUCGUUCUGGGAUGAGCCUGCGUCUCAUUAGCUAGUUGGUAAGGUAACGGCUUACCAAGGCGAUGAUGAGUAGCUGGUCUGAGAGGAUGAUCAGCUACACUGGAACUGAAACACGGUCCAGACUCCUACGGGAGGCAGCAGUGGGGAAUCUUGCGCAAUGGACGAAAGUCUGACGCAGCCACGCCGCGUGAGUGAAGAAGGCCUUCGGGUUGUAAAGCUCUGUCGGAUGGGACGAACAUCUUCAUAGUGAAUAGCUAUGAGGACUGACGGUACCAUCAAAGGAAGCACCGGCUAACUCCGUG